rnacentral:rRNA from 1 species
AGUGAACGCUGGCGGUAGGCCUAACACAUGCAAGUCGAACGGCAGCACAGUAAGAGCUUGCUCUUACGGGUGGCGAGUGGCGGACGGGUGCGGAAUACAUCGGAAUCUACUUUUUCGUGGGGGAUAACUUAGGGAAACUUACGCUAAUACCGCAUACGACCUACGGGUGAAAGCAGGGGAUCUUCGUACCUUGCGCGAUUGAAUGAGCCGAUGUCGUAUUAGCUAGUUGGCGGGGUAAAGGCCCACCAAGGCGACGAUCCGUAGCUGGUCUGAGAGGAUGAUCAGCCACACUGGAACUGAGACACGGUCCAGACUCCGACGGGAGGCAGCAGUGGGGAAUAUUGGACAAUGGGCGCAAGCCUGAUCCAGCCAUACCGCGUGGGUGAAGAAGGCCUUCGGGUUGUAAAGCCAUUUUGUUGGGAAAGAAAAGCAGCAGGUUAAUACCCCGCUGUUCUGACGGUACCCAAAGAAUAAGCACCGGCUAACUUCGUG